CAGUUGGUGGUCAUCAGCCAGCCAGCCUCUGCUGGUGACUCUGGACAGUGAGAGACCUGAGAAAGGAGCUGGAUCCAGCAGCAAGCAGUUGUGCGGUAUUAGCUGGACAGCAACCGGCAGGUAUUGGCUGGUCCUGGAGUCCCUCACUGGGUAGAGGCUGUUCUGCUGUCUCCUGUUCCCAGAUCUGCAGUGAUCUUUUACAGGCAGAAUGGCUAAGAUCAAAAAUUCAGGUGGCAGCAGAUGCUGGUGAGGAUGUGGAGAAAGAGGAGCACUCCUUCAUUGCUGGUGGGAUUGCAAGCUUAUACAACCACUCUGGAAGUCAGUCUGGCUGUUCCUCAGAAAAUUGGACAUAGUACUACUGGAAGAUCCAGCAAUACCUCUCCUGGGCAUAUACCCAGUAGAUGCUCCAACCUAUAAUAAGGACACAUGCUCCACUGUGUUCAUAGCAGCCUUAUUUAUAAGAGCCAGAAGCUGGAAAGAACUCAGAUGUCCCUCAAGAGAAGAAUGGAUGCAGAAAAUGUGGUACGUUUACAUAAUGGAAUACUACUCAGCUGUUAAAAACAAUGAAUUUAUGAAAUUCUUGGACAAAUGGAUGUAUCUGGAGGAUAUCAUCCUUAGUGAGGUAACCCAAUCACAAAAAAGUCAUUAGAUAUGCACUCACUGAUAAGUGGAUAUUAGCCCAGAAAUGUAGAACACCCAAGAUACAAUUUGCAAAA
rnacentral:lncRNA from 1 species